GGAGGUCACUGCUAUCCGAAUUCGCCUAAGCCAUGCAAGUCCUGGGAAAUUUAUUUUCCAGGGCGGAAAGCUCAGUAACACGUAGUUAAUAUGCCCUUGGGCCUCGUUCAAUCCCGGGAAACUGGGGCCGAGAACGGGAUAGGCAAGGGGUGCUGGAAUGCUCCCUUACUGAACUAAGGAUUAGACUGCGGCUGAUUAGGUUGUUGGUAAGCUAAAGCCUUAUCAAGCCGAUAAUCAGUACGAGCCUUGAGAGAGGAAACUCGGAGAUGGAUUCUGAGACAACAAUCCAGACCUUACGAGGUGCAGCAGGCGCGAAAAUUUCACAAUGCACGCAAGUGUGAUGGAGGAAUUCGGAGUACUUUUCCUUCUUGGAAGAGUUUUUGCGCAACUUAAAUAAUUGCGAGAAUAAGUGGUGGGUAAUACGGGUGCCAGCCGCCGCGGUAAUACCCGAGCCACAAGUGGUGACCGCUUUUAUUGGGUUUAAAACAUUCGUAGCCGGUCUUGUAAGCUCCCGGUGAAAUAUCACAGUUAACUGUGGUGCUUGCCGGGGAGACUGCCAGACUAGAGACCGGGAGAAGUCAAGGGUACUGUCGGGGUAGGGGUAAAAUCCUGUAAUCCUGACAGGACCGCCUGUGGCGAAGGCGCUUGACUAGAACGGAUCUGACGGUGAGGGAUGAAAGCUAUGGGAGCGAAGCGGAUUAGAUACCCGCGUAGUCAUAGCUGUAAACGAUACCCGCUAGUUACUGGGGGUCUCAAGGGGGUCCCCAAUGACGUAGGGAAACCGUUAAGUGGGUUACCUGGGAAGUACGUUCGCAAGGAUGAAACUUAA
rnacentral:rRNA from 1 species